rnacentral:lncRNA from 9 species
UUCGAGUGACCUUAGACCUGCUGGUAGAGCCCAACCCCCAGCAGUUGCUCGGCAGGUUUGCUCGUUUGCGCUCUUCUUGGAGCCGCGGCAGCUCAGGGGCUGCCUGCGGGACCGUCAGAAUCUGCCGCCUUCACAGACGCGUCUUCAGCCACAGGGAGCAGUUCUCCACGCUUUUGCUGGAAAACCCCCCCAAGUACAAACUCAGCGCAAACCUCGUGAGCUCCAGAAGCUGACUCAUCUCUCAAACUUUCCUACUUACACUAAUUUUUCCUUCGUUUUCUUUUGAGCAAUACGUAUCUUUCUCUUUUUCUGAGUUUUUAUGAUUUUGUCCUGGGUUUGUUUGUGCUUAUUGUCUAAUUAGGAUUUCGCUACACCGUAGUGUUAGGGUCGUGCUAUUCUCAAACAUCUCUUUUUCAGACGAACUUUUUUUUUUGCCACUUCUGAAUCUGGGAGUUAGUAUUCUUUAAAUAUGAGGUAAUUUUUCUGAAUUUCAUUUGAUGACUACAAUACCAUAUGGAUUAUAUUUCCAAUAAUCAGAGCUAGUUAUUUAUUUUGAGUAACAGCAUUCAUUGAGUUUUGAUGAUAAACAUUUUGAUUAUUAGUAUAAAUACUAUUUUGUACAGUGGGAAUGGGACAUACCGUGUUCAAUUGCUGAUGGGCCUGUCAUCCCAGGAGACUUUAAGCAAUUACAGUGACCUCCGACAACCGCGUGUGCAUUGGCAUGCAAACGUCUCCAAGAGCCAUUGAGCCAAAACACUGCCAGAGGCUCCGUGUGACACCAGCCAAGCCCUGUUACUUGGGGGUCGUGAGUGUGACAUGCACCCACGGGAGAGGCAAGCACCCACCUGAGGACCAAGGGUGGGGCUGGGGGGCUGCCGCAGGCCCUGGCGUUUUCCUCGAUGCUUCCUCAUCCUGGGUGCUUUAUAAGAUGUGCUCUACGCUCACCCUCUCCACGAUCAACAAGACACUUACAGGCGUGUUCCGGUCCCCGUGUGUGGUCACGUCAGCCAGCGUGCACGUCGGAGUUGGUGCAGCCUGGGGCUCUGGUUUUCUCUCUGGAAGGAAAGGCCACAGAGAACCAUCCGAAUCGUUUUCAGGAACAGUUGGGUUACUUGCAGCUGCGCCUGUCAUGAGAGUCUGGGCUCAUGAAUUUUAUUGUGCUGAGUCCCGCUAGAGAAGGACUUUACAAACCUGUAUUUUUCUUACCUCAUAAUAAAAGCACCAGGAAGUGAGCAGGUGAUGCGCUUCGGGAAGCAUCUGUUUCCCUCUUGCUCUCUUCUCGUGCCUUCAGUAAUUCCAUGUCUGCUUCGCUUGCUUGUUUUUUACCAGCAGAACUGGUGGCAGCAAAGAUUCGGGAUGUGUAGGUAGCUGCUGUGGAUGUUGGACCUUCAUUAGUGUUGUUGUAACACAGCUAUUUCUCCUAAACUAGUUUUGGGAAGAAGGUGAGCAAGCAGCCCAGCCCACCCCUGCCAGGCCACCCCAGCCUCCGUGGCACAGACCAGCUGAGACUUGGGAGCAAGGGGCUAAACCUACGUGCAGCGGCGCCUCCACCAGGCCCGUGUCGCCCUGGUGUGAGGGCCACUGUGUGGGCAGACUCGGGGUCACCUGAGCUCCCCGCCAGCCCCUGCUGCUCCUGCCAAAGACUCCUGCCGGUGUGUUUUGGAAACUGUCACAGGGUGUAUUAAAUGCAACAAGAUUCUUCCAAUCGAGCAUCCAAAACUCAAGAAAAAACCUCUGUUUUCUUAGUUAAUAACCCAAUCAACUAUAAUCAUCGUAUUUACAUUCUCCGUGCUUAGCAAGAAAAUGCAACAAUAUUUGCUUUAUCGAAUAAUCGCUAAUAAUCUAGUUCUGAGCCUGAUGUCACUUCUUUACAUUAGAGGCUCAGUGACAUAGAACGAAUACAAGCGGCUGGAGUUCGACACGGGGGCUCACAGGGCGAGUCCGCCCGGAGCACGAGCUCUGUGCCCACGUCUCUCCUCUGAACUCUUCCCGUUCCCACGGGCCGAGCCGGCUUCCUGGUGGAGCCGGAGGUUCCAGAGCUGACAAAGUGGUGACAGGCGUCGGGGACAGAACAACCACCUGCCAGGACCAUUUUCUUCCCCUUACGUGUGGGCUGAAAGCCAAAAAAAAUGUGUUUAUCCCGGUGGGAUCAGGAAGGGGGCACUUCUGGGAAAGCAAGGUGAGUGAUUCACACGGAGUGGGGCUGGGGCUGGGGGUGGGGGUGGGGGGCCACCGGGGACCUGCUCCCAGCUUGUAAGGUGCUGCCACAUACUUCCCAGCCCUCCCAGUACCAUGCGGGGGUUUUCGGAGGUGCUUUCAGUGGUGUCGUGUUGAAGCCUGUGUGUCUUGCUUAAAAUCUAAAAUGUUUUUAUGACUCUUUCCUCUGGAGGACAAUUUUCCUCCUGAGCCUUCAAAAUUAGAAUUGUGUUUGGGCAAUAUUACAAUUCUAUUCCUCUUUAAUAUUUCAUGAAAGUCCUUUCCGAGUCCUUUGCUCUAGGUCAUACAAACACAAAUUGUUCAAGGAAGCAAAAGAUCUGCAUUAAUCACGCCUGUGACACGGCACCUGCGCUUUUCCCAGGCUCGCAUCUCACCGCUUCCUCGAAGACUUAGUGGAUAAUUGCGUUAAAUGCUGUGACGGAGAAAAGUGGUUGAAACCACAGCAUCAAGCCCGCGUUGCAGAAGCGCUGCUCGCAAACGCACAGGUUUUGUGGUCGUUCGUGGGAAAUGCACUCCGCGGCCCCUCCUCUCCAUCCAGCCCUCGUCAGUGGUGAUGAAUCAACGUAUGUGAAGAACGUCCGAGUUAAUUGCGCUACAGGCCUAUCUGUGAAAUGGCCAUCGUUUUGGGGGGACUAAUGAAAUUCAAAGUGGACUGACUUUCAACACAGCAAGUGGGAGCACCCGCUCUGACCUGCCCUCAUGGGAAGGGGCCUCACCCCACGCCCGGGGCGUCAGCCGCUGCCCCUCAGGCCGAGGGUCCUGGACAAGCCGCCCGCCAGGCUGCACUUCCCGGACCUGGACGACAGUGACAGCAGAUGGCGGAGCGGGCGUGGGUGUUGCAGAGAGACGUCCCCAGACGUCCUGCAGCACCUCCAGCUCAGAGCUCUGUCCUGGGGAAGUUGGGUCCAGCAGGAGGCAUCUUUUUUCUCCAGGAACCUGUAGACAUGUAGUCUCGAAAUUCACACAACUCGCCAAAUUUGCUCAUUUGGGUUGUCUCUGUGUGGUCCCUGUGGGCUGACUAAAGAGGCAAUCUGUACAUCUCUACACACACGGGCAGGCACGCAUGUAUGAGUGUUUAGACCUGGCAAGUGUUAGCAAGGACUGUAGGAUACAGAGAAGUUACACAACAUACAGUAUAUACCAUAUUACAUAUAAUGCAUGUAAAUAAAAUAUACGCUGUACCCCUUCUAAGAAUUAAGAAGAUCCGUAGAGAUUACGGGAUCGCAUCCAUCUACCCCUUACGGCGUAGCCUACAUCUCCCUCCGCUCCGCCUCUUCCGUGUGAACUCGCGGCGGGCGGGCGGCUGCCUCACCCUGGGUUUUCCCAGGUCUUGCAAAGUGCCAAGUCCCUGCUGAUGUCAAGCCAGGGCCUUUGAUGCCCCGCGGACUGUGGGCAGCUUUGUUUUAACUCCAGCAAAUUAGUCCAUAGGGGGGACCACGUUUCAGUGUGCAUACCCCGUUUCUGCUGAGUGAUACUCACCGAACCACCCGCAGAGGGGCCCCUGUUUCGCACCUGAGCAUGUCUCAGGAACUGGAGGGUAUGCUGCGGGGUGGCCCAUGAUGACCCACACCGGAGCGUCCCCACCACACGACACGGCCUCACCCCCCUCGGGGAAGGGGAGAUGGGCGGAUGGGUGAAUGACAGAGAAGAUAAG